rnacentral:sRNA from 1 species
GCUGGGUAUGGUGGCUCAUGCUUGUAAUCCCAGCAGCUCAGGAAGCUGAGGCAGGAGAAUCUCGGGUUCAAAGCCAGCCUCAA